ensembl:lncRNA
AGUUGUGAGGCGUGGAGUGUGUCAGUUGUGAGGCGUGGAGUGUGUCAGUUGUGAGGCGUGGAGUGUGUCAGUUGUGAGGCGGGGAGUGUGCCAGUUGUGAGGCGGGGAGUGUGCCAGUUGAACUUUUUGAAACACAGUGUGUGAACUGCCAAAGAUACAGUGUUUGGAAUGCUGAAUAUAGAAUAGUCAACUCACCACUAUAAGUUAACACACAGAGGAACUAGUUAUGAAAUGACAAUAUUGGUUUACUAAUAAUAUCUUGGUCUUAUAUUUUAAGGAUUUUAAGAAUGCUGAAGCAUAUCACUCUUUGUCAUGUCUAAGGAUACGUUGGAAGUACAGUAUAUUAAGGCAUUUUUUAAGUUUAAUGAUUCAUUCCGUUAAAUAGUUAUGUUUGUAUGCCUGUGGGUUGUUUUUUAAACUGCUGUGAUUGAUUCAGCUGUGCUUGAGCUUGUAAAAGUCCUUUUAAUAAAAAGAGAAUGGUUUAUGAUGAAUUGUUUCUUUAGAAAUGUUUUUUUAGCAAUGUCUGUAAUUAAGUAAUGUACCAUGAUAAACAUUUUAUUUAAAUCUGCUUUUGUUUUUACAGCCACCUGAAUCUUCAAAAUAAUUCCUCCAACUAGCACAGAAUUCCUAUGAAAUAAGAUUGUAUUUGUCACAUACAAUACAACAGGUGUAGACUAUACCAUGAAAUGCUUAUUUACGAUCCCUUUCCCAACAAUACAGAGUUAAAAAGUACAAAAAUGUGCUAAAUAAAAAAAGGAAAUAGUAACACAAUAAAAUAUUAAUAACGAGACUAUAAACAAGGACUACCGGUACCGAGUGAAUAUGCAGGGAUACGAGGUAAUUAUGCACAUGUAGGUAAGGGUAAAAGUGACAAGGCAAUCAGGAUAGAUAAUAAACAGAGUAGCAGCAAUGUAUGCAAAGAGUGAAAGUGUGUGUAUGAGUGUGUGUGCGGUGUCAGUGUGUGUGUGUGUGUGCAUGCGUGCGUGCGUUGGUGUCAGUGUAGUUGUGUGAGUGUGUAGGAACACUUUCACCAACAGAAGGGUGAAUUUAUAAUGUGUGUAGGCGAUGUGUAAAAGCCACAUGAUACAUAUAGGACUUCCUGUACAAAAGGGGAUUUUAACAGCCUUAUAUGUGCAUUUUGAUUAAAU